UCCUCAGACCACCAUGACCAUCAUGGGCAUUGCUGCUGCCCUGAGUCUCCUUGGAGCUGUGGCUGCUGGAGCUGUGAUGUGGAGGAGGAAGUGCUCAGGCAGAGGCAGGGAGAGCUACUCUCAGGCUGCCUGGUGACAGAGCUGCUUUCUAUGGGACUUGGUGCUACAACAGUCACUGCAGCCUCCUAUUGGGGCUUUAAGGUCCCUGCUUGCUGUUUCUGCAACCAACAUCAGAAAGUGUUUGCAUUUUCAUCAGUAUUAUGACAGGAGCUGGUCACCAGGUCUACCUCUCCACAGGGACCUGUGUUCUCUCUCCUGGGACUGUCCUGUCCUAGCAGAGGUGGGGUGAGGCCAUCCCCAUCCUGGUCAUUCCUCAGCUGGGACAUCUUUGUGGUUUUCUUGUCCUUCCCACUUGAGGAGAACUGUGUCCCACCAGGACCUGGGACCUCAGGGACUUGAAUGUCACCCAAGCCUUGUGGUGGCUCCAGGACUGUGCUCAGGGAGGGCUUCCUGUGGCCACAUCAGCCUGGGGUCAGGCCUGGGUCUGACCUCAGCCCCUAUCUUUUCGCUUAUUUAUUGAUUCUUUGUUUUCAUGCAUUUUAUACCUUUUCCAUUUACUUGAUUAACUUAUUGGGGUGUUUUUUUUAAAAGUGCAUUUCAUUGGCUUUGGUUCCUGGGAUCAUACAGGACUCCGUUGUAUGUUUCUAUGAUGUUGUGCAAUGAGGAGUCUCUCCACCAGUGGGUUUUGAGUCCUGGGUAAAUGACACUUGUUUUUACAUCUGGAAUCCAGACGUUCCUUGCAGAUACUUGGUUUCAUGUGUACACCAGCACAAUAAAGCAAGUAUCAUAGUAAAGUGACUCACACACACAUUUUGGUUUCCCUGAGCAUAUAAGGUUAAGCUCAUGGUAACUUUAGUCUAUAAAUGCUAAAAGCUAUUAUGUCUAAAAAGUAAUGUACAGCCCUGGCUGGAGCAGUUUAAUGGGUUGAGUGCAGGGUUGCAAACCAGAGGGUGACCGUUUCAAUUCCGAGUGAGGUUACACGCCUGGGUUGCAGGUCAGGUCCCCAGUUGGGGACGUGUUAGAGGCAACCACACAUUGAUGUUUCUCUCCCUCUCUUUGUCCCUCCCUUGCCCCCCCAAAAUAAAUAAAUAAAAAAAUUUAAGAAGUA